rnacentral:rRNA from 1 species
AUACGGAGGGUGCAAGCGUUGUUCGGAAUUACUGGGCGUAAAGCGCGCGUAGGCGGUCUGUUAUGUCAGAUGUGAAAGUCCUCGGCUCAACCGGGGAAGUGCAUUUGAAACUGGCAGACUUGAGUACUGGAGGGGGUGGUGGAAUUCCCGGUGUAGAGGUGAAAUUCGUAGAUAUCGGGAGGAAUACCGGUGGCGAAGGCGACUUCCUGGCCAAAAACUGACGCUGAGGUGCGAAAGCGUGGGUAGCAAACGGGAUUAGAAACCCCGGUAGUCC